UACGUAGGAUGCAAGCGUUGUCCGGAAUUAUUGGGCGUAAAGAGCGCGCAGGCGGUCACUCAAGUCAGAUGUGAAAUAUCCGGGCUUAACCCGGAGGGGUCAUUUGAAACUGAGUAACUAGAGUACAGCAGAGGAUAGCGGAAUUCCCGGUGUAGUGGUGAAAUGCGCAGAUAUCAGGAGGAACACCGGUGGCGAAGGCGGGUCUCUGGGCCGAUACUGACGCUGAGGAGCGAAAGCGUGGGGAGCGAACAGG
rnacentral:rRNA from 1 species